CCUACGGGUGGCAGCAGUGAGGAAUAUUGGUCAAUGGACGCAAGUCUGAACCAUCCAAGUAGCGUGCAGGAUGACGGCCCUCCGGGUUGUAAACUGCUUUUAGUUGGGAAUAAAAGGGGGCUCGUGAGCCCCGUAUUUUAUUUACCAUCAGAAAAAGGACCGGCUAAUUCCGUGCCAGCAGCCGCGGUAAUACGGAAGGUCCGGGAGUUAUCCGGAUUUAUUUGGUUUAAAGGGAGCGUAGCCCGGCUUUUAAGUCAGCUGUGAAAGUCCGCGGAUCACAUGUGGAAGUGCAGUUGAAACUGGAGGCCGUGAGUGCACACAGGGAUGCCGGAAUUCAUGGUGUAGCGGUGAAAUGCUUAGAUAUCAUGAAGAACUCCGAUCGCGAAGGCAAGUGUCCGGGGUGCAACUGACGCUGAGGCUCGAAAGUGCGGGUAUCAAACAGGAUUAGAUACCCUGGUAGUC
rnacentral:rRNA from 1 species